AACGCGAAGAACCUUACCUGGGCUCGAAAUGUACAGGAAUCCGGUAGAAAUAUCGGCGUCUCGCAAGAGACCUGUAUAUAGGUGCUGCAUGGCUGUCGUCAGCUCGUGUCGUGAGAUGUUGGGUUAAGUCCCGCAACGAGCGCAACCCUUACCUACAGUUGCCACCCGCAAGGGGGAACUCUGUCGGAACCGCCUCGGAUAACGGGGAGGAAGGUGGGGAUGACGUCAAGUCCUCAUGGCCUUUAUGUCCAGGGCUACACACGUGCUACAAUGGCCGGUACAAACCGCUGCAACCCCGCGAGGGUGAGCUAAUCGGAAAAAGCCGGCCUCAGUUCGGAUUGGAGUCUGCAACUCGACUCCAUGAAGCUGGAAUCGCUAGUAAUCGUGGAUCAGCAUGCCACGGUGAAUACGUUCCCGGGCCUUGUACACACCGACAUA
rnacentral:rRNA from 1 species